rnacentral:rRNA from 1 species
CCGGCGCACGGGUGAGUAACACGUAUGCAAUCCACCUGUAACAGGGGGAUAACCCGGAGAAAUCCGGACUAAUACCCCAUAAUAUGGGCGCUCCGCAUGGAGAGUUCAUUAAGGAGAGCAAUUUUGGUUACAGACGAGCAUGCGCUCCAUUAGCCAGUUGGCGGGGUAACGGCCCACCAAGGCGACGAUGGAUAGGGGUUCUGAGAGGAAGGUCCCCCACAUUGGAACUGAGACACGGUCCAA